GUCGCCGCCGCGCCCGCCACGGCCUCUGCCCCACUCGCGGGCCCGGUCCUGUGUGCCGUCUUCGCUCCAGCUGCCCACCGUCUAGACCAGAGGGCAGACGGGGCUCGGGGGGUGAGGACACACAGUCUAGCCAUUGUCCUGCCUGUGACCCAGUCUCUCCCCUACCCCCAGCUGCAGGACUGAAGAGAUCUUUUGAUUUAAAGUACCCAACGACUGGGAGCAAAAUGACUGAGAAUGGAGCAACACCAAUCACAUUAUUAUGCAACAUAGAUCACACACCAACCAAACCAAACUAUGUGAAGACUCAUCCCCGUAAAGAACUGCAAGGAGCUGCUUCUCGGCAGGUGGGACAGAAGAGGGCAGCUUUUUUCUCAUAAGCUGGGGAUGCUGAGUUUUAAAACUAUAAAAAUAAAACUCUGAUAAAAGAAA